UACGUAGGGGGCAAGCGUUGUCCGGAUUCGAUUGGGCGUAAAGAGCGUGUAGGCGGCCAGGUAGGUCGGUUGUGAAAACUGGAGGCUCAACCUUCAGACCGUCGACCGGAAACCAUCAUGGCUAGAGUCCGGGAGAGGAGAGUGGAAUUCCUGGGAUGUAGCGGUGAAAUGACGCGAGAUAUCGGGAAGAACACCCGUGGCGAAGGCGGUUCUCUGGGACGGUACUGACGCUGAGACGCGAAAGCGUGGGGAGCGAACAGGGA
rnacentral:rRNA from 1 species